CCUUCCUCCCUCUGCCCUCAGAUCCUCUCUGGAGUCAUUCUGGAGGUGGUCGCCGAGGAAUUUGCCAAUGACUUUCCGCCCGAGACGCAGAGAGCCUGGGCCAAGCUGCGCGGCCUCAUCUACAGCCAUGUGACCGCGGCCUACAAGGACGUGGGCUGGGUACAGCAGGUCCCCAACGCCACCACCCCACCGGCCACGCUGCCUUCUCCCUCCUCGGGGCCGUAGGGCCCCUGCUGCCCUCCCCCCUCCCUGGCAGCACCUUGAGCAGAAGGCCGAGUUCUGAAGACCCUCCUUGACCCUCCGUUGCUGGGUGCCAAGGAAGCCGGAGGAACCCCUGACGCAUCUUCCUGGAGAGAGGCCUCUGCCUGGGCCGCGGCCCCCUGGAGCCGCCGGGAGGUGGCACUGGAUGCUGACCCAGUGGCGGCCGGUGGCCUGUGGGGUGGGGGGCCCUUCCUCCUCAAAGAGCCAGGCCCCCUCUUCUUAGCUUUUCUACUCACCGUCCGAGACCUAGCUGAGCAGCUGGCAGGAAUCGGGGUCCGCGAGUCGCCGCGGGCUGCGCCAGCCCCGUUUCUAUCUGCCCGGCCAGCAUGCAGGUCUCGCGUCACCUCUAGAAUAUCACGCACACAUAUCUACCAUAUAUACGAUAUAUUCUAUAUGCAGCCUCUAUAAAGAUAUAUAUACAUUCACAUCUAGACUGUGUCCCUGCCGGGCCCAGAGGCCCGCGGGAGGCCUCGGCUCUGCUCCCCUGUGCGUGGGGCAGGGAGGGGCCCCGCACAUGCCUCUGGGCCGAGGACGGAGUGUUCUGGCAGAGAUGGGGGUCCCGCAUCAGCACAGAGAGGAUUGGGGCCUGUGGGCGGAGUUGGGGUGACCCAAGGGCCUGCGUGGGCAGGGUUGGGGUGACGCAGCCCAUUCUCGGGCCAGCUCCCACAUUCCUACAAGAAGGGUUUGGCUCUCCCCACCUUGACCCCACACCAAAGGACGUGUGUGGCUCCCUGCCCUGCUCCCUAACAGUCAAGGGCAGGCAGGGGGCCCGCCGUUCAAGGACAGGACGCCUGUGCUGGGGGAGGGGCGGAGGUAGAGCCCCAUCUGCCUUUGUCACGAAGACAGCCCAGCCCCGGCGGGAGGAGGGGCGAUGGGACAGGACCAGCUGCCUCCAUCUCCUCCGGGGCUCCGAGGCCGGGGCCUUCCGCCCACCCCGCCCGGCUGCUGGCUGGCAGUCGGUCCUGUCCCUCCAUCUGGGUCAGAGCCGCGGGGACACCCCCGAGUGUGCCCCUCGGUCACGUGUGUCGUCCUCAGGAUGUUCUGCUGCUGUGACUGUUGUGCCGUGCCCCCUCCUGUCCCGUCUCGCCCAGCCAUCCGUGUGACCGCCUGUCCUCCUUUUGUAGUUUCUGAUGUUUGUAACCAGACCCAGCCGUGUCAUUAAACAGACUCCUCUUCCUGUG